GACGAACGCUGGCGGCGUGCUUAACACAUGCAAGUCGAACGGUGAAAGAAGAGCUUUCUCUUCUGGAUCAGUGGCGAACGGGUGAGUGACACGUGAGGAACCUGCCCCAGACUCUGGAAUAAGCGCUGGAAACGGCGUCUAAUAUCGGAUACGAGAUAGAGCUGCAUGGCUACUGUCUGGAAAGUUUUUCGGUCUGGGAUGGACUCGCGGCCUAUCAGCUUGUUGGUGAGGUAACGGCUCACCAAGGCAACGACGGGUAGCCGGCCUGAGAGGGCGACCGGCCACACUGGGACUGAGACACGGCCCAGAAUGCUACGGGAGGCAGCAGUGGGGAAUAUUGCACAAUGGGCGAAAGCCUGAUGCAGCGACGCCGCGUGAGGGAUGACGGCCUUCGGGUUGUAAACAUCUUUCAGCAGGGAAGAAGCGAAAGUGACGGUACCUGCAGAAGAAGCACCGGCUAACUACGUG
rnacentral:rRNA from 1 species